AGAGUUUGAUCCUGGCUCAGGACGAACGCUGGCGGCACGCUUAAAACAUGCAAGUCGAACGUGAAGCCCGGGCUUGCCCGGGUGGAAAGUGGCGAACGGGUGCGUAACACGUGAGCAACCUGCCCCGAAGACCGGGAUAACACCGGGAAACCGGUGCUAAUACCGGAUACCUUCACCACGUCGCAUGGCGAGGUGAAGAAAUGGAUUCCGCUUCGGGAUGGGCUCGCGGCCUAUCAGCUUGUUGGUGGGGUAACGGCCUACCAAGGCAACGACGGGUAGCUGGUCUGAGAGGAUGUCCAGCCACACUGGGACUGAGACACGGCCCAGACUCCUACGGGAGGCAGCAGUUAGGAAUCUUGCGCAAUGGGCGAAAGCCUGACGCAGCGAUGCCGCGUGCGGGAUGAAGGCCUUCGGGUCGUAAACCGCUUUCAGCAGGGACGAUGAUGACGGUACCUGCAGAAGAAGCCCCGGCCAACUACGUGCCAGCAGCCGCGGUAAUAC
rnacentral:rRNA from 1 species